rnacentral:misc_RNA from 1 species
ACAAUGACGCCUUUGAUUACGAAGGAUUCGCUAUGAAACAGGAAACAGGCCGAGGCAGUCUUAGAUGUGACCUCACACACAGCGACACCGGUAGCAGUGAUGAGGAAACAGAUCGAAGCAGUCCUACAUCUGACGUCACACACAGCGACAGCAGUGGCAGUGUCACAUGCUGCGACACCUGUAGCAGUGAUGAGUAAGAGAAUGGAGGCAUUCAUAGAACUAACCUCGCACUCAGUGACAUCUAUGGCAGUGAUGAGGAGGAAUGUGAAACUGGCGUUUUUCGCGAUUCAUUCUGGGAAAGCGAUGUCAUUGAUACCACUGACAUGAUUAUUAUAUUUGAAGUGAAAAACGAAACUAGUGUUUUCCGGGACCCAAUGAGCAGUGACACCAUUGAUUUCAAUGAUAUGAUAGUAGAGGAGAUCAGUGAAAGCAGACCCCUAGCCGAGCAUCCUUACAGUGACAUCUACGGUGGCAAUGAAAUAGGAGAGGACGCGUCGAGCGACGAAGGGCAAACGGCUGGCAAUAACACGCGAGGACGUCCCAUCAUCGAGACCCAAGGUUCAGCUUCACAACGUGGAUCGUGCCAGCUGUAGGACAAGUCCCGGAGUACGGCCACUGCCAGCAAGACGCGAACUAUCGGAGCGGCGACUUCCCCGCAGACGUGUCAAGCCCACCGCUGCCAUCCACGUCGCAAGACGAUUUCCACGUGUGGACCUGUUUCGUUUCACUUGGGAAUGUUGCUUAUACUCAUUUGUGAGUGUUAGCAUCUGCAAAGCCACAACCAUGCUGUGGCCAAAAAUUCUGCCUUAUGGCUCGGCGCUCUUGGUGGACGUGCCAGCGCAAAUAAACGCCGACUUUGUUACGCUACUGUAUACGUUAAGCCAUCUGGCGACUGAA